GCAAAUUAUUUUACGGCUCUGAAGGCACCUGCUCUUGUCUGAUCUCUGAAGCUAACCAGGGUCAGGCCCAGUCAGUGCAUGGAUGGAAGAACACUUCCUUUAGUGUCUUGGAUGCU
rnacentral:rRNA from 1 species